rnacentral:rRNA from 1 species
UACGGAUGGUGCAAGCGUUGUUCGGAAUCACUGGGCGUAAAGGGCGCGUAGGCGGUAAUGUAAGUCAGAUGUGAAAGUCCUGGGCUCAACCCAGGAAGUGCAUCUGAAACUGCAUAACUAGAGUAUUGGAGAGGAAAGUGGAAUUCCUGGUGUAGAGGUGAAAUUCGUAGAUAUCAGGAGGAAUACCGGAGGCGAAGGCGACUUUCUGGACAAAUACUGACGCUGAGGCGCGAAAGCGUGGGGAGCGAACAGG